AUGAACAACCAUGUGGUUGAAAUCACGGGAGGAAGAACUGUAAUGGCUCCCAAAUACCUAAUUGCCAUGGAUCGGUUAGAGAGACAAGUUGGAAGAAUGAAGGACAAAUUUCCGUAUUCUACCACAUGGAGCCACAAAAGUAACGCUGACUUCGGGGGCACACAGUUCGCUGCUUGCAAGGCUGAAGAUUCUUGUAAUACCGUCGACAAUCAGAAAAGGGAAGUGCUUCAUAACCCUGAAAUAUCCCUUGUGCUGAUCCUGAAUCCAAACUUUACCUUGUCCCAAGCCCUGAAACAUGCCCAUAAGAUUGGAAGAAUGCAAUGUGUAUCAUCGGCCGCUCCCUACUUGGCUGAGCUCCUCUGACAUCCGUCCAAUUUGCCGUACAGAUUGAUCAUUCCACGUUACAAAUGAGUAGCUUCAGCAUGGAAAUAAAGACAUGGUGUUCGUUUCUUCAGUCAUUCACGGACACUUGGAUAUUUCUAAUUUUUUAACCCUUACUGAUGGAAUAGUCACGAGCAUUUGCGGAUACAUUUAUGCACAAACCAAAGUUCUCCCUUCUCUGAAAUAAAUACCUAGGAAUAGACGGGUGGAUCAGGCCAAGAAAUAGCAAGUGCAGUUUUGCAUUAGCAUUAAAAAGCUGCCAACAUUUUCUUCAUAAAGAGCUGUGCCAGUUUCCACCCUGCCAGUGCAAAGUGUGAAAAUUACAGUAACUCCCAACUUGCUAGCACCUGGCAUUGUCUUUCUCGUGUGUACGUAUGCGUUCACGUGUGUUACAUGUGUGAUAAGUGCUUAUCUAUAAUAGUCUUCAUAACAGCUGUGGAACAACCUGCCACGACUCAUAUUCACAUUUAUUCAACGGUUGCUAAUUUGGGAAACAGUCACGUGCUUACUUUC
rnacentral:lncRNA from 14 species